UAGCGUAGGGUCCGAGCGUUGUCCGGAAUUACUGGGGCGUAAAGAGCUCGUAGGUGGUUUGUCACGUUGUUCGUGAAAACUCACAGCUUAACUGUGGGCGUGCGGGCGAUACGGGCAGACUAGAGUACUGCAGGGGAGACUGGAAUUCCUGGUGUAGCGGUGAAUGCGCAGAUAUCAGGAGGAACACCGGUGGCGAAGGCGGGUCUCUGGGCAGUAACUGACGCUGAGGAGCGAAAGCGUGGGGAGCGAACAGG
rnacentral:rRNA from 1 species